AUACAUGCAGUCGAGCGGACAGAUGGGAGCUUGCUCCCUGAUGUUAGCGGCGGACGGGUGAGUAACACGUGGGUAACCUGCCUGUAAGACUGGGAUAACUCCGGGAAACCGGGGCUAAUACCGGAUGCUUGAUUGAACCGCAUGGUUCAAUUAUAAAAGGUGGCUU
rnacentral:rRNA from 1 species